UAGAAAAGAGAACCCAGUGAGUCGAUGUAACUAAUUCUCAGACAAUAAAUGGACACAUUUCUAAUUUAUAAAAUAAAGCUUUGAUUUGAAUGCAUUAAUCACAAAUAUUAAUAGAUAUACAUCAAUAUCUGAUAUGUUUACAAUGUUUUAAUGUUAUAGUAAUGACACGUUACGAUAAAUCUCUCUCGAUGAAGAUGUUCUCUACCACAAACACUUCAUGUUACACAUGAUACAUUCAGAAUAAUAUAAAUAAACACAGCCUUCGUUUUAGAAUGGAAAGCCAGGACUAGUAUGUAACAUCUAACAUCUAAAAUAACUCCCAAUACAAUAACUGCUAAUACAACAACUGCUAAUGCAAUAACUGCUAAUGCAAUAACUCCCAAUACAAUAACUCCUAAUGCAAUAACUGCUAAUACAAUAACUGCUAAUACAAUAACUCCCAAUACAAUAACUCCCAAUGCAAUAACUGCUAAUGCAAUA